GAUGAACGCUGGCGGCGUGCCUAAUACAUGCAAGUCGAGCGAAUGGAUUGAGAGCUUGCUCUUAUGAAGUUAGCGGCGGACGGGUGAGUAACACGUGGGUAACCUGCCCAUAAGACUGGGAUAACUCCGGGAAACCGGGGCUAAUACCGGAUAACAUUUUGAACCGCAUGGUUCGAAAUUGAAAGGCGGCUUCGGCUGUCACUUAUGGAUGGACCCGCGUCGCAUUAGCUACUUGGUGAGGUAACGGCUCACCAAGGCAACGAUGCGUAGCCGACCUGAGAGGGUGAUCGGCCACACUGGGACUGAGACACGGCCCAGACUCCUACGGGAGGCAGCAGGAGGGAAUCUUCCGCAAUGGACGAAAGUCUGACGGAGCAACGCCGCGUGAGUGAUGAAGGCUUUCGGGUCGUAAAACUCUGUUGUUAGGGAAGAACAAGUGCUAGUUGAAUAAGCUGGCACCUUGACGGUACCUAACCAGAAAGCCACGGCUAACUACGUGCCAGCCGCCGCGGUAA
rnacentral:rRNA from 1 species